GGCAACAGGCUCUUACUCCAUCCUCUGCAAACGGAACAUGUAAAUUAUGUAAAUUGUUGUGUGCCAAUGCUUUGCCUAGGUAAAUCACACACCUCUACUUUGGUGAAGGUCUAUUCUUGACUGUGUUUGUGAUGGAAAUGUUUUUCAGUUCAGUUCCAUGCAUUUUUUUUUCUGAAUUGCAGUACUUACACCUGAAUUACACCUUUGUUUAAACUGAGCUAACUUUAAUUUGACUCUGUACUGCAAAAGCAGUGACCCACUGAAGGUGGUGACUGGGAACUGACACCUUUUUCAUCACACGAAUUAAACUAACAGGUUUCUUCUGUCUUUUUGUUUGUAGGUGCUUCUUGGGCAUCAACCCAGAGACGGGCACAAAAUCUAAGAGGCAGAGAGGUCACAUGAACCAGCAAGUCUGCACUCUUAUCAGGAAGCUCAUUGACUUCGAAUGGAUGUCAAUCUAAUUGGAUAGAACCCACACUAUGCAGGUGCCAGCUGCGAGGGAAGGAGCGAGAUACCUGCGACCCUCUCUAUUCCCACCUUUUUGUCUUUUCUUACAUCUCUCUCCCUCACUCUCUCUUCUCUGUCUCCUUCUUUCUCUUUUGACACACAUUCCUGUUACCCAGUGUCAAUCCCUGUUGCCCAGUGUUUUAUUCAUGUAAUUAAAUUGUAUUUUACUUCUAAAAAAUAAAAGUUAUGUCACUGUUUU